UGGGCCCUCACCUCAGGCUCCUCGUCUUCAGUCUCACCCACAGGGGACCCUUUUCCGGGGUUCCUCAGUUUGUCAAGAAGAUCUAGGAUCAGACCUCUGUUCAGCCCAGGCACAGGUACAGUUGUGAACCAAAGACAUACGUCCCAUCCCUGCCCUCAUGGAAAGAACAUUCCAGUGUGGGAGACAGAUGGUAAGGUAAGUAAAAUACAAAGCACGGAGGGAUGGAAGUGUAGCUCAGUGGUCAGGCAUUUGCCUAGCUUGUGCUAAGGCCCUCGGUUCAUCCCUAUCCUCAAAAAAAAAAAAAAUACACACGUGUAUA